UGGAGGGNAAGUCUGGUGCCAGCAGCCNCGGUAAUUCCAGCUCCAAUAGCGUAUAUUAAACUUGUUGCAGUUAAAAAGCUCGUAGUUGAAUUUUUGCUGCUUCUUUGUUUUCCCUUUCGGGUUUGCCUCGUUGUGGCUUUUUCCGGUUUUUGCUUUUGCUUUUUCCGGAUUGUUACUUUGAGAAAAUUAGAGUGCUUCAAGCAGGCUUUUGCCUUGAAUACUUUAGCAUGGAAUAACUAAGUAGGACUUUGGUUCUAUUUUGUUGGGUUAAGAGCCAAAGUAAUGAUUAAUAGGAACAGUUGGGGGCAUUCGUAUUUAACUGUCANAGGUGAAAUUCUUAGAUUUGUUAAAGACGAACUACUGCNANAGCAUUUGCCANGGAUGUUUUCAUUAAUCAAGAACGAAAGUUAGGGGAUCGAAGACGAUCAGAUACCGUCCUAAUC
rnacentral:rRNA from 1 species